AAUAUACUGUGCUUAUUACCACUACACUUGGUACAAGCUAGCGGAAAAAUUAUCCCACGCUAAGGUUCAAAAUAUGCCUUUUGAAAUACCCUGGGAUGUCUUCUUUAAGGAAUGGUAUGCCUUUAUGGUGUAGCUGGAAUAUGUAGCCUGCUCAAGUGCUCCAAAAUGGGACACGGACAUAUCAAAACCCUCCAUGAAAAUUCACACUUGAAAACCUGAACUUGUCACGUCUCUUUUACAACACUGUAACUUCACAAAAUAGUGUCUAGAUCAUACAUUGGGCAUAUUGUUUUACUCAGAUUUUAUAACAGUGGUACAUAUCAAGUGUGAGAAAAAUGCAACAUGUAUGUAAAAAUGCAACGGUUUCCCCUCACCAAACAUUGACAUAAAUUGGUGAAAAAAUGGUGGCAAGUUAAGGCACAAUAUAUGCCAUAUAAGAUACCCCUGGGUGUCUACUUUAUCAAAUGGAAGCAUUUUGUGGAGUUUGUGGAGUUAUCUGAAUACUCACACUGAUAUAAAUACCCCAAAUUGAGACAUAUGCCGUCAAUGAAAAUUCUAACUAUAAAAACUGAAAUAGCGUUGUCUCCUAUAUGGCAUUGUAGCCAGGGGCGGACUGACCACUCGGGCACUUCGGUCAUGGACCGAGGGCCCGAGGCAGUCAGGGGCCCGGCAGCACAGCC